rnacentral:lncRNA from 10 species
GGGGAGACAUAGCUUUCCAAACAAUGUGUCUCUUUUCUUUCCUUUCUUUUUCCUACAGUUUAUUCAAAAGGCAUGAGCCACCACACCUAGCCUAAGUGCUUAUUAUUUUUAAGCCAAUUAAUUGGAAAUUUUUCGUAUAUAAACAUCACAUACACAACACACAUAAAUACACAGACAGACAGAAGAAGAUCCAAUAGUUGUAAGAUUUUUCAUUUCCCAGUUUCUUAAUUGGAUUAUUGGCUUCAGGGUGGAGCUGUUAGAGGAACAGGGCCAGGAAAGCAUGCAGUUUCCACAGCCCAAUAAGCAGGCACAGCUGGAAGACAAAACAGAUCCCAAAAAUUAAGGGUCCCAUUUUUAUAUCAGAUCCUAGAUCCCCAAAAAGAGAAAUGCUACAGAACAAGACAGUGACAUGAUUUUACCAUGCAUUUCAUUACAAAAUAACCCAAAGCCCAUUCUGUGAUUAGCUGAUCCCCCAUGACAGUCUUAUCUCUCAGUGAGAGAGUGGAAAUAUCUUCAUACCUUCCAAGUGGCCAAGAGCAUGUUUCUCUGAUCCAAACGUGCAAAAAGCCAUGUAUUUCCCCAUAAUUGCCACUAGCUAUCCCCAAAAGUAUAUUUCCUACGUAGUAGUUAUUACACACC